rnacentral:rRNA from 1 species
CCUACGGGAGGCAGCAGUGAGGAAUAUUGGUCAAUGGACGCAAGUCUGAACCAGCCAUGCCGCGUGCAGGAAGACGGCUCUAUGAGUGGUAAACUGCUUUUGUACGAGGGUAAACGCAGAUACGCGUAUCUGUCUGAAAAUAUCGUACGAAUAAGGAUCGGCUAACUCCGUGCCAGCAGCCGCGGUAAUACGGAGGAUUCAAGCGUUAUCCGGAUUUAUUGGGUUUAAAGGGUGCGUAGGCGGUCGGAUAAGUUAGAGGUGAAAUCCCGAGGCUCAACUUCGGAAUUGCCUGUGAUACUGUUCGGCUAGAGAGUAGUUGCGGUAGGCGGAAUGUAUGGUGUAGCGGUGAAAUGCUUAGAGAUCAUACAGAACACCGAUUGCGAAGGCAGCUUACUAAGCUACUUCUGACGUUGAGGCACGAAAGCGUGGGGAGCAAACAGGAUUAGAUACCCGAGUAGUC